UCUACGGGAGGCAGCAGUGGGGAAUUUUGGACAAUGGGCGAAAGCCUGAUCCAGCAAUGCCGCGUGCAGGAUGAAGGCCCUCGGGUUGUAAACUGCUUUUGUACGGAACGAAAAGCCUGGGGCUAAUAUCCCCGGGUCAUGACGGUACCGUAAGAAUAAGCACCGGCUAACUACGUGCCAGCAGCCGCGGUAAUACGUAGGGUGCAAGCGUUAAUCGGAAUUACUGGGCGUAAAGCGUGCGCAGGCGGUUUUGUAAGACAGUGGUGAAAUCCCCGGGCUCAACCUGGGAACUGCCAUUGUGACUGCAAGGCUAGAGUGCGGCAGAGGGGGAUGGAAUUCCGCGUGUAGCAGUGAAAUGCGUAGAUAUGCGGAGGAACACCGAUGGCGAAGGCAAUCCCCUGGGCCUGCACUGACGCUCAUGCACGAAAGCGUGGGGAGCAAACAGGAUUAGAUACCCUGGUAGUCCACGCCCUAAACGAUGUCAACUGGUUGUUGGGUCUUAACUGACUCAGUAACGAAGCUAACGCGUGAAGUUGACCGCCUGGGGAGUACGGCCGCAAGGUUGAAACUCAAAUGAAUUGACGGGG
rnacentral:rRNA from 1 species